UCAAGUUGUAAUUUAUAGAAGUUUAAUUAAGCGUUAAAACUGAUUAAAGUUGGCUGGGAAGCUACUACAGAGAGGGUGAUAUACCCGUAACUGAUUAGAUUUUAAUGUUAAUAAUUUUUCUUCAAAGAGUCAGGUUGCUUGGGACUGCAGCCUAAAAUGGGAGGUAAAUUUCUUCUAAAGCUAAAUAUUGGCAAGAGACCGAUAGCGAACAAGUACUGUGAAGGAAAGAGAAAUAGAACCUUGAAAAGGGGUUUAAAAGGAAGUGAAAUUGUUAAAAGGGAAACGUUUAAAUGGGGUAAAAAUUAAAUUUGAUGGAAUUUAUUUUUAAGUUUUAAUCAAAUUUAAUUAUGGUCAAUACGGAUUUUUGAUAGUAUAAAAGAAUAUUAUAAACGUACAUUGAUUUUUAAUUAAUGACUUAUAGUAUAGUAUUUUAAUACUUUUGAAGAUUUGAAUAAAUUUUUCAACAUAAAUUUGUAGUUAUUUAUAAAAAGUUUACUUUUCUAUAUUUAAUUUAUAAGUUUUAAAUUGAAAGACUUUGUUAUUAGAUCUUAACCUUUUUAAACGACCCGUCUUGAAACACGGACCAAGGAGUCUAACAUUUAAUGCGAGUAAAUAGGAUAUAUAAACCUAUAUGCGAAAUGAAAGUGAAUUCAAGGUAGGAUCAUGGAUUUAUUCAUGAGCACUAUCAACCGAUCUAUUUGGAUUUUUUCAAUAGAAUUGAGUCAGAGCGUAAAUGUUGGGACCCGAAAGAUGGUGAACUAUGCCUGAAUAGGGUGAAGCCAGAGGAAACUCUGGUGGAGGCUCGUAGCGAUUCUGACGUGCAAAUCGAUCGUCAAAUUUGGGUAUAGGGGCGAAAGACUAAUCGAACCAUCUAGUAGCUGGUUCCUGUCGAAGUUUCCCUCAGGAUAGCAGAAACUCACUCAAUAGUUUUAUGAGGUAAAGCGAAUGAUUAGAGGACUUGGGGAUGUUAAU
rnacentral:rRNA from 1 species